AUUGAACGCUAGCGGGAUGCUAUACACAUGCAAGUCGAACGAGUGGCGGACGGGUGAGUAAUAUAUCGGAACGUGACCAGUAGCGGGGGAUAACUACUCGAAAGAGUGGCUAAUACCGCAUACUAAUGGAGCGGCCGAUAUAGGAUUAGCUAGGUGGCGGGUGAAAGGUGACCCAAGGCACAGAUCCGCAGCGGGUUUAAGAGGAGGACCAGCCAAAGUGGGACUGAGACGAGGCCCAGAAUCCUACGGGAGGCAGCAGGGGGGAAUUUUGGACAAUGGGGGAAACCCUGAACCAGCCAUCCCGCGUGUAUGAGAAGGCCUUCGGGUUGUAAAGUACUUUUGGCAGAGAAGCGGUAUCUGCAGAAUAAGCACCGGCUAACUACGUGCCAGCAGCCGCGGUAAUAC
rnacentral:rRNA from 1 species